GACGAACGCUGGCGGCGUGCUUAACACAUGCAAGUCGAACGGUGAAGCGCCUUCCUUUUUGGUGGGUGUGGAUGAGUGGCGAACGGGUGGGUAACACGUGAGUAACCUGCCCCCUUCUUCUGGAUAACCGCAUGAAAGUGUGGCUAAUACGGGAUAUUCUGGGUCUGUCGCAUGAUGGGUCUGGGAAAGAUAUUGUUUCGGUGGGGGAUGGGCUCGCGGCCUAUCAGCUUGUUGGUGGGGUGAUGGCCUACCAAGGCGGUGACGGGUAGCCGGCCUGAGAGGGUGGACGGUCACACUGGGACUGAGACACGGCCCAGACUCCUACGGGAGGCAGCAGUGGGGAAUAGUGCACAAUGGGCGCAAGCCUGAUGCAGCGACGCCGCGUGAGGGAUGGAGGCCUUCGGGUUGUGAACCUCUUUCGCCAGUGAAGCAGGCCUGCCUCGUUUGUGGGUGGGUUGACGGUAGCUGGAUAAGAAGCGCCGGCUAACUACGUG
rnacentral:rRNA from 1 species